AACGGGUGGUAAUGCCGGAUGUUCCAGUUGAUCGCAUGGUCUUCUGGGAAAGCUUUCGCGGUAUGGGAUGGGGUCGCGUCCUAUCAGCUUGACGGCGGGGUAACGGCCCACCGUGGCUUCGACGGGUAGCCGGCCUGAGAGGGCGACCGGCCACAUUGGGACUGAGAUACGGCCCAGACUCCUACGGGAGGCAGCAGUGGGGAAUAUUGCACAAUGGGCGCAAGCCUGAUGCAGCGACGCCGCGUGAGGGAUGGAGGCCUUCGGGUUGUAAACCUCUUUUAUCGGGGAGCAAGCGUGAGUGAGUUUACCCGUUGAAUAAGCACCGGCUAACUACGUGCCAGCAGCCGCGGUAAUACGUAGGGUGCAAGCGUUAUCCGGAAUUAUUGGGCGUAAAGGGCUCGUAGGCGGUUCGUCGCGUCCGGUGUGAAAGUCCAUCGCUUAACGGUGGAUCCGCGCCGGGUACGGGCGGGCUUGAGUGCGGUAGGGGAGACUGGAAUUCCCGGUGUAACGGUGGAAUGUGUAGAUAUCGAAAAAAAAACACC
rnacentral:rRNA from 1 species